UGCUGCAACGACAAAGGAACCUCCUUA
rnacentral:piRNA from 1 species